rnacentral:rRNA from 1 species
CGGAGGUGGCAAACGUUACUCGGAAUUAUUGGGUGUAAAGGGCAAGUAGGCGGCUUAAUAAGUGGGGGGUGAAAUACUUCGGCUCAAUCGGAGAACUGCCUUCCAAACUGUUAAGCUUGAGUAUGACAGAGGAAAAUGGAAUUCUUGGUGUAAGGGUGAAAUCUGUAGAUAUCGAGAAGAACACCAGCUGCGAAGGCGAUUUUCUGGGUCAUUACUGACGCUAAAUUGCGAAAGCUAGGGGAGCAAACAGAAUUAGAUACUCUGGUAGUCCUAGCCGUAAACGAUGAGCACUAGGUGUCGGGUCCUUUAGGAUUCGGUGCCGCAGCUAACGCAUUAAGUGCUCCACCUGGGGACUACGGUCGCAAGGCUA